rnacentral:rRNA from 1 species
UACGAAGGGGGCUAGCGUUGCUCGGAAUUACUGGGCGUAAAGCGCACGUAGGCGGCUUUCUAAGUCGGCGGUGAAAUCCUGGAGCUCAACUCCAGAACUGCCUUCGAUACUGGAGAGCUUGAGUCCGGGAGAGGUGAGUGGAACUGCGAGUGUAGAGGUGAAAUUCGUAGAUAUUCGCAAGAACACCAGUGGCGAAGGCGGCUCACUGGCCCGGUACUGACGCUGAGGUGCGAAAGCGUGGGGAGCAAACAGG